AACUCCACCCUCUAAGCCACCCAAGUAUCCUCCCAAAUUUCCACCCAAACACCCACCCAAAGUAAAGCCACCUGCUCACCAUAAACCACCAAAGCCACACAAGCCUCCUGUUGUCAAACCACCCAAGCCUCCUAUUGUCAAACCACCCAAGCCUCCUGUUGUCCGCAAACCACCCUGUCCACCCAAGCCACCCAUUGUGAAACCACCAACCAUACCCAAACCUCCCUAUGUACCCAAGCCACCCAUUGUGAAACCACCAACCAUACCCAAACCUCCCUAUGUACCCAAGCCACCCAUUGUGAAACCACCAACCAUACCCAAACCUCCCUAUGU
rnacentral:misc_RNA from 1 species